GUGCAUGUACAUCUGUUUUCACUUUUGUCAAAUACUCUUCAGACGUCUCUUCUUCCAUUUCAGUUCUCUUUCUUUACUGUCACUAUUUAAUUUUUUUUCUCCGCCAAAUUGAUGCAUUCCUUUGCUCCAAAGUGGUCCUUCUUCAACGUUGGCGGCAUAUUUGAAUGGGUUAGUUUUUUCGUUUUUUCAUCAGUUUAUUUUUCUGAAAAUUUUAUGCCUCUUUUAUAUUGAAACAAUUGGACCGGGUAAUUUAAUUUAAGGCGCUUCUUCAAUGGAUGAUUGGGGAAAGAUUAUAUCCAUUAUUUGCAUAUUAUUUUUCAUGACCUCUUAUUGUUUGAAGUUUCUUGAAUUUUGUAUCUUCAAUGAGAUUUGGGUAUCCAAAGUUACUGCAUGUGAGUAUUUCGCCAAUUUUUGCUUAUUUUCUAUUUGGAGUGUGGCGAAGAGGAGAUAGUUCUCGGCGGCUUCACCAGCAACAAUUUCACGGCGCUAUUUGUCCAGUAGGGCAGUUGAUCGGUUAACUUUCAUUUUCUCUUUGGAGGCUUUAGGAACUGUUAAAAUGGGUAUGGGCUAUUCACCUUCUGCUUUGUUUAUCACUGUGGAGGUUUACUCACUGUGGAGAUUUUACUCUAUAUUGGAGCCUGUCAAGAAUAUGGGGAAGAGUAUUAAACAAGUCCUGAAGUGAUUUUGGUUAGCUUUUACAGUUUGAAAAAUGAUAAAAUACGCAUACACUCUCUGAAAUUUUUGCCAAUGUUUAUUUUCAACUAUGAUUUUCUGUUGGUUAUUCUAAAUGCAUGUUAUGUUGGUGCAUGAUUUUCACAUCGAUGCCCAUGUGAUGUUUGAAAAUAUGUCUGAAGGAAUUGAUUCUUUAGCCAUCUUUUCAAUGUCCAAGCAAACAUUAACUUCAACAAUGCUCUUGAGAUUUUGUUCCUCGCUCUUUCAGAGGUAAGUAAUCUUAUUUUGGGAAUUUACUUAUUGUCUCUACUGAUGUUGAUUUGUUAGUUAUUUAAUUUGUUGGACUUUCUACAUCAUAUAUUCGUGGAAUUGGCCCAAUCUUCAAGUCUAAUGAGCCAAACGGAAAAUUUCAGACCUAUUUCAGUUUAAUGUUCAGUUUCACUAUUUCGUUUUUACAUGUUUGACCUGUUCAGUUACGUGUAAGUUUUUAUCAUAAAUCAUUUCACUUUGUUGAUGGUUCAAUACUUUAUUUUUAGACCAAAUAUAAUAGGUUUACAAGGCAAUGCUCCAUAUGAAGAGAAAUUUGUAUUAGUGGAUGAUGAAAAAAGAGUGAAGGAAAUAGAGAUUAUCGUACAUUUCGCCUUAUACAUAUAUACAAGCCAAGAUUAAAUUUCAGAAAGUUUGAUUACCUGACAAGGAAUAAAAGGUUAAUUGGUUUGAAUUUUGAAGAUGAGCAAUAUUUCUGUGCAAGCUGCACAAAGUAAUGCUUUUUGUCAGCCUUCAUUUUAUUUCUCUCAGUUAUUUUGAUGAGCUUUUUAUGCACAGAAUUUGGACUGCCAACAGUUAAUUGUUUGGGAGUCGGAGGCUGUUUCCAUCCUUUUUAAAAAGAUUUAGGACCUAGCAAGUCCAGCAUACUACUCAAAUUCAUUUAUGAACAUUGCCGGCACAGUUGGUUCUAAUUUCUAAGGCAUUUUACUGUUAAUGAUUUAGGCAGUACCUCUUAGCGCAAGGAAAGCAACAGGUGGAUCCAGUGAAGGGUAUGCACCAUUUUUGCAGCUGCCACACUUUAGCGAGGUUGUUGUUAAAAAGAUUGCGACAAAGGUAACACUAGGGGUAGAUAUCCAUCUCAAAGGGUUCUGGAUUCAGGAAUGGUGGUGUACGAAGGCGAGGAAACUAUGGAGGCGGUGGUAGGGGCUAUAAUCGUGUGAUUUCAAUGGAAGAAGCGAGUUCAACAACCGAGGUGGUAAUCGUGGAGGGUCAUCCAACCGUGGAGGUGAUGGAUAUCAGCUAACCGACAACAUGGGAGGCAACAGCGCGCGGAUGAAUCGCGGUGGGGGAUGUCAAAUGAAACUGCCAAAAAUAUGACACCACGGAACUGCUACAGCUUAAGUAGUAUCAGGCAAAUAAGUCAGCUAAUUUAAAAUUUUGUCAAUUGAGGCUGAAGGAAUGCCUAUGGUAUUCACAAGUGACCCGGCCAUUGAUGAAGAAGGAAAUGUCUAUUAUAUGGUAAGCAGCAUCAACUACCAACGAAGGUUAUGUUGGUGAAACCACUCCAGAGUUUCAUAUGAUUUGACAUGACCAAUUGUGAACACAGCAGCAUAUGCUCUUCAGUUUGAAUUUACAAAGUCUAAAGUCUAAACAGUGGCCACGACACUUCCAACUUUUAUAUCAAAAUUACAUUUAAACAAAAAAACUCUGAUGUAAUUCUGAUUGUGAUAUACAAAAUUAAGCGCUUACAAAUCAUAGUUAGUACAA